CUUCGUAAUACGCAGGCACACAACACACACGUACAAACAUAAGCACUCAUUCAACUCUCAGCCAGAGGUAGUGAACUCGAACAGUGAGACUACGAAGCAUCGUACAAAGAGGAGACCCCGAGUAUAGGAUACGCUAUUAUCAUGGUUUCUAAAUGCAGUUUUGAAGUGCGUUACAAUUACGUUCUCGACAACUGAGCCCGAGGAGGAUAUCUUGAACUGAGUCAUGUGUUUAUAGGGUGUAUUCCGAAAUAUUGUGACAUCGACGGUACCUGGUGGAAAUUUCCACAUGCUAGACACUGGAAUCGUUCACACAGCUGCAGCUAGACUUUCAGUAGUUUGGGUCACCAAUUACCGAUAAAGUAUAGAAAUACACCGGACAACGGUCAUUCUAUCGCUCCAAUCGAACGAACCGAGGAAGGAGUAAUUGUUGGAUGAAAGAUUUAAUUAAUUGGCUUACCUUUUGAGAAUAAUCUGGAUAUGAUGAAUUGCAGCGUAGAUUGGCAUAGAAUCGAAACGCUAAUUUAGCUAGUCGAAAGUGACGUAUCCACGUAGAGAGCAGAAUUGUUUUUCGAAAAUUGUUUGGAUGGGAAAAAAUUCAGAGUAACUGUAAUACAUCACGGAUGCGCUAAUUUUGAUCGAGAUGAAAUGGAUGCUCCGUAUAUGAGAC